GGAAGGAUCAUUGAAUCUAUCAACACCCACACCUUGCGAACUACACGUAACUGUCGGCCUCUUGACUUCGACGACCCAGCAAUGGGUCAUGGAGCCAAGGAGUGCAUCUAGUAGUGCAAACUACUAUGUGCACUGAGUCGCCCCCCUCAAAAGGGACGGCUCGGCCCCUUUGUCUAACCAACCACACCAAACCAAACAAACUAAAGCAACUGUGUAGCCGGCCUGGCCGUCCUACACGUCUAACCAAGACAACUCUCAACAACGGAUAUCUUGGCUCUCGCAACGAUGAAGAACGCAGCGAAAUGCGAUACGUAGUGUGAAUUGCAGAAUUCCGUGAAUCAUCAAGUCUUUGAACGCAUAUUGCGCUAGAGGCUUCGGCCGAUAGCAUGUCUGCCUCAGCGUCGAUGUAACCCUCAUCUAACUCACCCCUAGGGGAGAGCACGGAUGGAUCUGGCAGUCCCGACCCCUUUAAAACGGGUCGGGUUUGCUGAAGCACAGAGGCUAAUCAAGGACCGUAAUGGGCCGCAUCUAGGUAGGUAGCUUACGCUCCAUAUUUAGAUGUUGGCUUGGACUUUGGUUACUAGCCCUCAACCAGGAACCUACACCUUACAUUUUCGACCUGAGCUCAGGCAAGAACACCCGCUGAACUUAAGCAUAUCAAUAAGCGGAGGAAAAGAAACUAACCAGGAUUCCCCUAGUAACGGCGAGUGAACCGGGAAUAGCCCAACUUGAAAAUCUCUUCGGAGAAUUGUAGUCUAUAGAAGCGCCCUCUGUAGCGGCGGGACCCCAAGUCUGGUGGAAGCCAGCGUCAGAGAGGGUGAGAACCCCGUCGGGUCUACGCUUAGCUGCUCCACGAGGUGCUUUCCACGAGUCGGGUUGUUUGGGAAUGCAGCCCAAAAUGGGAGGUAAAUCCCUUCUAAGGCUAAAUACUGGCGAGAGACCGAUAGCGAACAAGUACCGUGAGGGAAAGAUGAAAAGAACUUUGAAAAGAGAGUUAAAAAGUGCUUGAAAUUGUUGAGGGGGAAGCGUUUGGAAACCGUGGGUGCGCCCAGGCUUAUGCGUCUCUAACGAGGCGCUGUAUGUGCUGGGUGCUGGUCAGCAUGGGUUCGAUGGGCGGGAUAACAGCGGGGGUUGAUACUCCGUCUAUGCCGCCUGUCGGACCAAGGCGUGAACGGCGCUCUGUCCUUCGGGAACUGCGUCGUCAAGAUGCUGGCAGAAGGUUUCCAACCGGCCCGUCUUGAAACACGGACCAAGGAGUCCAACAUGUAUGCGAGUUGGUGGGUGGUAAACCCAUGAAGCGCAAGUAACCUGACUUUGGUGGGAAGCCCUAAAAAGCUGCACCAUCGACCGACCAUGAGCUUCUGCGAAAGGUUUGAGUGCGAGCAUACCUGUUGGGACCCGAAAGAUGGUGAACUAUGCCUGAGCAGGGUGAAGCCAGAGGAAACUCUGGUGGAGGCUCGUAGAUGUGCUGACGUGCAAAUCGCUUUUCGGACUUGGGUAUAGGGGCGAAAGACUAAUCGAACCAUCUAGUAGCUGGUUCCCUC
rnacentral:misc_RNA from 1 species